rnacentral:rRNA from 1 species
CAGUAGCCACGGUAAUACGAAGGGGGCUAGCGUUGUUCGGAUUUACUGGGCGUAAAGCGCACGUAGGCGGACUUUUAAGUCAGGGGUGAAAUCCCGGGGCUCAACCCCGGAACUGCCUUUGAUACUGGGAGUCUUGAGUUCGAGAGAGGUGAGUGGAAUUGCGAGUGUAGAGGUGAAAUUCGUAGAUAUUCGCAGGAACACCAGUGGCGAAGGCGGCUCACUGGCUCGAUACUGACGCUGAGGUGCGAAAGCGUGGGAAGCAAACAGGAUUAGAUACCCCAGUAGUCCCUGUCUCUUAUAA